GUUGGUGAACCAGCGGAGGGAUCAUUACAGAGUUGCAAAACUCCCAACCCUUUGUGAACGAACCUACCAGUUGCUUCGGCGGCAGACUCCUCUGGGGCCUAGCCUUUGCGGGUACCCCGCCGGAGUCCUACAAACUCUUGAUUUUUUGGCAUCUCUGAGUAGCUUAUAAAUAAGUUAAAACUUUCAACAACGGAUCUCUUGGUUCUG
rnacentral:misc_RNA from 1 species